GACUGCAGCCUGAGUUCCCCGGAGCAAGGCUGCUUCUCUCCACCCACUCCUCACCAAGAACUCCUGAACUUGAGAGUGGACGACUUCAAAGCUAGCUCUCACAGACUCACCUGGAAAAGAGUUCAGCUGCGCGUUCAUUGAACCGAGAGGCCAGAUCACCUAUGUGAGGCGGUGGGAACCAUAUGGAGAUUUAUAUUAGAACUUCAGCAAAGUGCACAGCUGCAGCCGGCAGAAGCCAGCUCUCGGGCUGACAGGCAAAUGAACCAGAUCGUGGACGGGGCCUCUGGGUGGCAGCUCCGGCCUUUUGGUUGUUGGACAACUAUAGUCAGAACUGAAAUGGAACAGGGGCAGGAGAAAUAACACACUUUUACUCCACGCAACUGUUGCUUUCACAUGAUCUUCAGGAAUGUAACUGGGAUAAUUGUCCAAAUUGAAUCCCAUACCCUGUCAUGGUACUGAUUAUUAAGGUGACUAUAUGAAAGGAUCACUCCAAAAUAACAGGAAUCUUGAGGAACCCAUUAAUGUAAAGCUGCGGCCAGAGUUCCAUGAGGAGGCAGAAUGUUCUAGAUGAUCCCUGUCUCUUCUCCAUUGAGGAAGUCGUUUCUUGCCUCUCUGUAAGCUCAGUUAAUCAUACCAGAAUAGGAGUCCUGUCUUAACUGAGCAAUAUACACUAUGGAGAGAUCCUUCAAAACCCGUCGGGACGAAUAACAGAUGAAUUCAUAAAACUGUUCAUCUCUGUUAUCCUGAAUGGUCACUCAGACAACAUUUUACUCAACUAUAAAGGGGAACACUUAAAGUGCAUAUGAGAAGAGAAGAGAAUGACCACAGGAGAAAAUCAUCUCAGGCCACGAUUUCCUAACCAGAAUCUGUAAGAGAGAUUCCAAGAACUUGGUAAGAGAUAGGAACACAGUGGGGCCUAAACAGAGGACAGUUUCUGUAAUCACUUGUAAUAUCUAUAAUGUUAUACUAGAUGAAUGGAAAUAUGAGCAUUGUUGAAAGGUGUAAUGUUUCAAAGUUUUACAAAUGAAUUUUAUAUUAAAAUAUAAGCUAUAUUGACAAAAUAUGUGAUUAUACUGUAUAUGAAGAGUAAAAUAAAACAAAAGGUACAACAACAUUUUUGUUUUAAGUGGGAUAGAAAGGUGUGUGGUUCAUGCCUCAGAUGGCUAUACAAAUACAAAAAAUUUAGACACCUCUCACAGAAAUAUAAAUGGAGCUAUAAAUAAAUAUGAAAUACUAAAAAAAA
rnacentral:lncRNA from 1 species